CCUAGGGUGGCAGCAGUGGGGAAUAUUGGACAAUGGGCGAAAGCCUGAUCCAGCCAUGCCGCGUGUGUGAAGAAGGCCUUCGGGUUGUAAAGCACUUUCAGUGGGGAAGAAAGCCUUGGGCUAAUACCCUCGAGGAAGGACAUCACCCACAGAAGAAGCACCGGCUAACUCCGUGCCAGCAGCCGCGGUAAUACGGAGGGUGCGAGCGUUAAUCGGAAUUACUGGGCGUAAAGCGCGCGUAGGCGGUCUGAUAAGCCGGUUGUGAAAGCCCCGGGCUCAACCUGGGAACGGCAUCCGGAACUGUCAGGCUAGAGUGCAGGAGAGGAAGGUAGAAUUCCCGGUGUAGCGGUGAAAUGCGUAGAGAUCGGGAGGAAUACCAGUGGCGAAGGCGGCCUUCUGGACUGACACUGACGCUGAGGUGCGAAAGCGUGGGUAGCAAACAGGAUUAGAUACCCCAGUAGUC
rnacentral:rRNA from 1 species